AGCAGCCGCGGUAAUUCCAGCUCCAAUAGCGUAUAUUAAAGUUGUUGCAGUUAAAAAGCUCGUAGUUGAAUUUCGGGGUUAGUAGGUUGGUCAUGCCUCUGGUAUGUACUGGUCUCACUGAUUCCUCCUUCCUGAUGAACCGUAAUGCCAUUAAUUUGGUGUUGCGGGGAAUUUGGACUGUUACUUUGAAAAAUUAGAGUGUUUAAAGCAAGCUAACGCUUGAAUACAUUAGCAUGGAAUAAUGAAAUAGGACGUUCGAUCCUAUUUUGUUGGUUUCUAGGAUUGACGUAAUGAUUAAUAGGGAUAGUUGGGGGCAUUAGUAUUCAAUUGUCAGAGGUGAAAUUCUUGGAUUUAUUGAAGACUAACUACUGCGAAAGCAUUUGCCAAGGAUGUUUUCAUUAAUCAAGAACGAAAGUUAGGGGAUCGAAGACGAUCAGAUACCGUCGUAGUCUUAACCAUAAACUAUGCCGACUAGGGAUCGGAUGAUGUUAAUUUUUAAUGACUCAUUCGGCG
rnacentral:sRNA from 1 species